rnacentral:rRNA from 1 species
UGGGGAAUAUUGCACAAUGGGCGAAAGCCUGAUGCAGCAACGCCGCGUGAGGGACGACGGCCUUCGGGUUGUAAACCUCUUUUAGCAGGGAAGAAGCGAAAGUGACGGUACCUGCAGAAAAAGCACCGGCUAACUACGUGCCAGCAGCCGCGGUAAUACGUAGGGUGCAAGCGUUGUCCGGAAUUAUUGGGCGUAAAGAGCUCGUAGGCGGUUUGUCGCGUCUGCUGUGAAAACCCGAGGCUCAACCUCGGGCCUGCAGUGGGUACGGGCAGACUAGAGUGCGGUAGGGGAGAUUGGAAUUCCUGGUGUAGCGGUGGAAUGCGCAGAUAUCAGGAGGAACACCGAUGGCGAAGGCAGAUCUCUGGGCCGUAACUGACGCUGAGGAGCGAAAGGGUGGGGAGCAAACAGG